rnacentral:rRNA from 1 species
AGAGUUUGAUCAUGGCUCAGAACGAACGUUAGCGGCGCGCCUAACACAUGCAAGUCGAGCGAGAAAGGGCUUCGGCCCCGGUACAGCGGCGCACGGGUGAGUAACACGUAGGUAAUCUACCCCCGAAUGGUGGAUAACCCUCCGAAAGGAGGGCUAAUACAGCAUAAGACCACGGCCUCCUCGGAGGCUGAGGCCAAAGC